rnacentral:rRNA from 1 species
GACUAACGCUGGCGGCGUGUAUAACACAUGCAAGUCGAGCGCGAAAGAUACCUUCGGGGAUUGAGUAGAGCGGCGAACGGGUGAGUAACGCGUAGGCAACCUGCCUUUCAGACUGGGAUAGCGUCGGGAAACUGGCGGUAAAACUGGAUACAACCGUAGAUACACAAGUAAAGAUGGUGAAAGCGGGGGACCCAUUAGGGCCUCGUACUGAAAGAUGGGCCUGCGUACUAUUAGCUAGUUGGUAAGGUAACGGCUUACCAAGGCAAUGAUAGUUAGCCGACCUGAGAGGGUGAUCGGCCACAUCGGGACUGAGAUACGGCCCGGACUCCUACGGGAGGCAGCAGUGAGGAAUAUUGCGCAAUGGACAAAAGUCUGACGCAGCAACGCCGCGUGAGUGAAGAAGGCCUUUGGGUUGUAAAGCUCUGUCAAGAGGGAAGAAACCUUGGUAGUCGAAAAGGUUAUCGAGCUGACGGUACCUCAAGAGGAAGCCCCGGCUAAUUACGUGCCAGCAGCCGCGGUAAUACGUAAGGGGCGAGCGUUGUCCGGAAUUAUUGGGCGUAAAGCGCGUGUAGGCGGUUAGAUCAGUCAGAUGUGAAAUCCCGGGGCUCAACUCCGGAACUGCAUUUGAAACUGUCUAGCUAGAGACCGGAAGAGGAGAGUGGAAUUCCUGGUGUAGCGGUGAAAUGCAUAGAUAUCAGGAAGAACAUCAAUGGCGAAGGCAGCUCUCUGGUCCGGAUCUGACGCUCAGACGCGAAAGCGUGGGUAGCAAACGGGAUUAGAUACCCCGGUAGUCCACGCCGUAAACGAUGGAUACUAGGUGUAGGAGGUAUCGACCCCUUCUGUGCCGGAGUUAACGCAUUAAGUAUCCCGCCUGGGAAGUACGAUCGCAAGAUUAAAACUCAAAGGAAUUGACGGGGGCCCGCACAAGCGGUGGAGCAUGUGGUUUAAUUCGAUGAUACGCGAAAAACCUUACCUGGAAUUGACAUCCUUUGACACCUUAUGAAAGUAGGGUUCUUUUCGGAGCAAAGAGACAGGUGCUGCAUGGUUGUCGUCAGCUCGUGUCGUGAGAUGUUGGGUUAAGUCCCGCAACGAGCGCAACCCCUAUUGUUAGUUGCCAACGAGUAAAGUCGGGGACUCUAACGAGACUGCCGGUGACAAACCGGAGGAAGGUGGGGAUGACGUCAAAUCAUCAUGGCCUUUAUAUCCAGGGCUACACACGUGCUACAAUGGCUGGUACAGAGGGUUGCAAUAUCGCAAGGUGGAGCUAAUCUCAAAAAACCAGUCUCAGUUCGGAUAGUGGGCUGCAACUCGCCCACUUGAAGUUGGAAUCGCUAGUAAUCGCGGAUCAGCAUGCCGCGGUGAAUACGUUCUCGGGCCU